ensembl:lncRNA
AGCGUCUUCGUAAGAGGCUUCUACGACCCCUUAUAAAAGGGCUCGGUGGGUAAUGGCAUGUGCUUUCUGUUAAUACCCAACUAGCCGAAUUCCUGGAGAUGAUUUUGAAGCCUUCAUGACCAGCACACAAGCCCAGCUGUCUCCAAGGGUGGCAGGAGCAGGUGCCAAUGCAUGGUGGCAUUCCAGGACGUUGUUUUCUGUAGGGAUUUUACUUUUAAAAUGAAGUGCCAAAGAAUAAUAUUUGUGUGUUGUGUAAGUGUUGACAAACCAAAUGGCUUUAAUUGGUCUCCCUGGCAUUUAGUACAAUGCAACCUGUCCUCCUGGCAGCCGCAAGCGGCUCUGAGCCCACAGCAAGGGUCAGCAGUUGCUACCGGGCAGUGAGACAUGCGGUGGCAUCGUGGCAAUGCAGUAGGGACUCCCAGCAGGAGAGAUGACUUUUGCUCGCUCUCUCUAGCUGCCCAUUUAAUCUUAUUUUGAUUGGCACCUACUCUUCAGCAGAGCAGCCUGAUUGACUUGAGCGGACACAGAGCUACUGGAGCAGAUGGGCACAGCUGCAGCUACCCGGUGGACCACGCACAGAUCCUCACUUGCAUUGUUUAGUCCGAGAGCGCAAACAGAGCCAACUUGGUUGAAGACAGGAGACCCCUAACUGAAGGAGAUGCUCGCAAAGAGGGACCUGUUACUCAGUAGGGCUUGCCCAAAGGAUCAGCUUAAAGAUGCACUGGUACGAAUUUCUUUACGCUCUGUGUGACAUUAGGAAUAUAUGAAGAUCACGUAGAUAGCACCUCGUUCCAAAUACCCAUGUUUAUUAUUUGUGAACAUAAUUAUAUCUGGCUACAGAUACUCACUGCCGCUCUGUUUCCACUGGGCUUUAUGUUAGAAGAUCGGAGCCUCGUGGGCUUGCAGCUUUAGAAAGGCGACAUGCCAACUCCUGUUCGCUACAGCUGGGAAACCAGAGGUGCAUCCUGCUGCUGCCUUCCUGCUCCCGUCCACGCAUGGACAUCACCUUGGAGGAAGGAGCUUGAGCUUGGAGGCUGCACCGGCGCGUAUGCACCCAUCCUGGGCUGCUGGCUCACCCCCAGAGCAACAGCUCCCAUCAGAGGCCCGACAGCGUCUCCAGCCAACUUGGGCGACUGCUCACGUGGGGAAGAGAGUGGGUUUCGUGCAGUUGAUGAAGAAUGUCUAUGGUAGAUGGAAGAGUUAAUUGAGGAUGUUCUCCGGAUUAAACAAGCUCGAUCAUUCAGGCACACAAGCCCUUGUUAACUUCAGCAGAACUUGGCGAUGGACCAAGCCCUGAAGAGGCCACGUGGCUCUGCCCACAAGACCGAGUCUAGCAAGGGAGUGUGAAGUAGUUUGCUGUGACUGGUAUUUAUCUUUUAUAUUUGGCUGAGUUUAGGUUGAUUUGUUUGACAAGAUAAAACAGCACAGCGAAACUGCAGUGAGCUUCCACCUCUGAGCGGUGUCACAGCAGCUUCCAGUGAGAUUCACCAGUUGCUUUGAGGCAACUCCGCCAGCUCUCAGAGCACCUGGGUUGGUUAUUUUGUGCUCUGCGGCAUCCUGCCUGCAGAUGGCAUUGGGUAAGUCAUGCGUGUCCUCUGCAAGAGAGUUAGAG